rnacentral:rRNA from 1 species
UACGUAAGUGGCGAGCGUUAUCCGGAAUUACUGGGCGUAAAGCGUGCGUAGGCGGGUUGGUAAGUCCGUGGUGAAAUCCCCAAGCUUAACUUGGGAACUGCCGUGGAUACUAUCAAUCUUGAAUAUCGUGGAGGUAAGCGGAAUAUGUCAUGUAGCGGUGAAAUGCUUAGAUAUGACAUAGAACACCAAUUGCGUAGGCAGCUUACUACACGAUCAUUGACGCUGAGGCACGAAAGCGUGGGGAGCAAACAGG